UACGUAGGGGGCAAGCGUUGUCCGGAAUUAUUGGGCGUAAAGGGCUCGUAGGCGGUUUGUCGCGUCGGGAGUGAAAACACCGGGCUUAACUCGGUGCUUGCUUUCGAUACGGGCAGACUAGAGGUAUGCAGGGGAGAACGGAAGUUCCUGGUGUAGCGGUGAAAUGCGCAGAUAUCAGGAGGAACACCGGUGGCGAAGGCGGUUCUCUGGGCAUUACCUGACGCUGAGGAGCGAAAGUGUGGGGAGCGAACAGG
rnacentral:rRNA from 1 species